CAUAUCGGAGUCACAUGAUUUUGAUAUCAAAGAUUUUAUCGCUUGAAGAUGGACUCGCGUCCGAUUAGUUAGUUGGUGAGGUAACGGCUCACCAAGACCGCGAUCGGUAGCCGGACUGAGAGGUUGAACGGCCACAUUGGGACUGAGACACGGCCCAGACUCCUACGGGAGGCAGCAGUGGGGGAUAUUGCGCAAUGGGGGCAACCCUGACGCAGCAACGCCGCGUGAAGGAUGAAGGUUUUCGGAUUGUAAACUUCUUUUAUUAAGGACGAAAAUUGACGGUACUUAAUGAAUAAGCUCCGGCUAACUACGUGCCAGCAGCCGCGGUAAUACGUAGGGAGCAAGCGUUGUCCGGAUUUACUGGGUGUAAAGGGUGCGUAGGCGGCUCUGCAAGUCAGAUGUGAAAUCUAUGGGCUCAACCCAUAAACUGCAUUUGAAACUGUAGAGCUUGAGUGAAGUAGAGGCAGGCGGAAUUCCCCGUGUAGCGGUGAAAUGCGUAGAGAUGGGGAGGAACACCAGUGGCGAAGGCGGCCUGCUGGGCUUUAACUGACGCUGAGGCACGAAAGCGUGGGUAGCAAACAGGAUUAGAUACCCUGGUAGUCCACGCUGUAAACGAAGAUGGAUAGGUGGGGGGGGUUUGACCCCUUCCGUGCCGGAGUUAACACAAUAAGUAAUCCACCUGGGGAGUACGGCCGCAAGGUUGAAACUCAAAGGAAUUGACGGGGGCCCGCACAAGCAGUGGAGUAUGUGGUUUAAUUUGAAGCAACGCGAAGAACCUUACCAGGUCUUGACAUCCAACUAACGAAGUAGAGAUACAUUAGGUGCCCUUCGGGGAAAGUUGAGACAGGUGGUGCAUGGUUGUCGUCAGCUCGUGUCGUGAGAUGUUGGGUUAAGUCCCGCAACGAGCGCAACCCUUGCUAUUAGUCGCUACGCAAGAGCACUCUAAUAGGACUGCCGUUGACAAAACGGAGGAAGGUGGGGACGACGUCAAAUCAUCAUGCCCCUUAUGACCUGGGCUACACACGUACUACAAUGGAUGUUAACAGAGGGAAGCAAGACAGCGAUGUGGAGCAAACCCCUAAAAACAUUCUCAGUUCAGAUUGCAGGCUGCAACCCGCCUGCAUGAAGAUGGAAUUGCUAGUAAUCGCGGAUCAGCAUGCCGCGGUC
rnacentral:rRNA from 1 species